GAGGAUCUGUCCGUGAAUGAAGUUGAAACGGAAGUGAAGUGUGUGCAGGAAGUGAAGUGAAGUGAACCUGUAAGAAGAAUGGAGACAACGACGUCGUACGUAGUGCGUGAGGGGCUUUCAAGCUUGGAAGAAAAGGCGUCGUGUGAAGAUCCCUUUGAUAAAGCUAUGCGUUUUGUCCUUUAAUUAAACACAGCGUUUGGGGUCAUGUCCAAACGGUGUGUUUUAUACAAACUGCCUUUUCCCUUUCUGUUUUUACAUUACACUUGUCGCUGUUUUAAUGGUUCUGUUAGUCAUGGGCUACGUCCAUAUAGGAAGGGAAAAACAACACACAAAGGCAUCUGAAAUUUGUAAGAACUUGCUAUUGCAAUUGGAGGUUGGGAGCCCUCGAAGUACUCCCGUAGCCAUUUUCUGAGAGUUUAAAUUCUUGCAUGCAUUUUAUCAAACAGCUUAAGUGCACUAGGCUGAACCAUUGCUUCAAGCCGCCCCUUGACUCUGCAUCUUCUUCCUGAUUACACAGAUACAAUCAACCAUCAGUUAACAGGCUACUGAGCAGUUAAUCUGAUGCAAAUGCAGAGCACGUUUCUCAGACGGAAACUGCUCCUUGAAUCGUGGAGGAUGGAGACUUAGUCGGCUGUUUACAAUUCUUAUCUUUUAUUUUCAAAAUUCUGUUGCUUAGUUGUUAAUUCUUUCCGAAUUUAUUUCCUUAAGAUUAUGUUGCAAUUCUUUUCUAGUUUAUUUCCUGAAUUAUAGCAUGAUAUGUAAUCCUUUAAAUAUGGUAGUGAUGGAAAGGAAAAGGCAGUUGCCGAUUUUAUUGAAUGAAGAAUUUGAGUCUGGAUUCCAUUAACAGAGUUAUUCUAUUUGUAUUUCCCUCUUGGACGUCGACGUGAGGAAAAGCAGGUUGGGCUGCACCUCGUCUUAAGGAUGCUGUUUUAUCUCAUGACAGGUUACGUGAAUAUGUGGAGAUGAUUAUUGUAAUGCGGACACUAUAUCAGAAGUAUAAACUGGUGCAUGUAGACCUCAGGGAGUAUAAUAUACUUUAUUUUGAGGGUCACUUAUAUGUUAUAGAUGCCUCUCAAUCAGUUGGGAUGAUUUUCUACCUUGUUUUGUACCAAGCUGUACAGUUUCUACAAAAAAGAUUUUGUGAUGAAAGGUUGUUAAGAGAUGAAGUUAUCUCCUCGAAAUUACAAAACUACAGAUUUUGUGAUGAAAGUUUGUUAAGAGAUGAAGUUAUCUCCUCGAAGUUACAAAACUACAGGUUUGAUAUAUAUAUAUCAUUUAUUGCUUUUAUUCAAUAUAUGUUUUGUAAAAAUAUUUGUAUUGCUUUUUUCGCAUUCCCUUUUCCUACUAUAAUUGGGGGUUUAUCUUGCAAAGAUCUUAAAUACAUAAACUAUGUUGUCCCUUAUUUGUUAUUUGAGAGAUAGACUGAAUAAUUAGAGAGACAUAGGCACAUGGGCUUUUAGUAUCAUUUUGGAAAGCAUCCACGUUUCACUGGAGUUGUUACAUGCCCAUGACCUCGCAUGGAGCGGGAAGGGGGCCUAAUGCCGAGGUGGGUGCCCCUAUCUUGAUACCAAGGGCAAAUUGGUGCCACCAUCAUCAAACCAUCCCGUUCAACACGACAUUUUGUUUUGUGAAAAAGUCCAAACAAAAUCCAAACAAAAACCAGCAAUCUUACAUAUCCAAACAAACAAGCGUACAUAUAAGAAAAAUAUCACAAAUCCAACGAAAAAUAAAACAAACUCACAAAAUUAGAGAUAAAACGAACCAAAGAAAGAAAAUCAAGUAAUAAUCGUGCACAAACCCCGAGAUCGUGGUAUUGGGUAGGUGAUCUCUACAGCAGAUCGUCGUCAUAGUAGAAUUUUAAAGUUGCAGACUCAUCACUCAUAGUCACAGUGAGUCUUUAGCAUAUAGUCCUAUAAAGAAAAUUGUUUUAUUAACUCGUAGAAGCCCAUGGCCAAAUUGUGGUCUUACUGUCGUAGAAUGCGGUCUGGCCAUGAGUACCCAUGAUAAUGGAGUGAAUAGACGAGCGGAUUUAAAAGCGGAGGAGAGGAAAGGAAAUUGGGAGGAGAAGAAAAAAGAAAGAAGACAGGAUGGUGGCCAUUGAAGUGUGAAAGUUUGAAACGAAUGUGGAAAAGAGAAGAGGGAGGAGGAGAAGUGAAAGGUGGAUAGUGAUGGCCGCUGGAAAAGAAAAAAAUGGUAGUAGAGAGAGAUUGUGUUUCCAAUAUAUAAGAUAUUAUGAUAUAUAUAUAUAUAUAUAUGUAUGUAUGUUUUUACAUAUAUUGAAGGUCAUGUGGGCCCAAGGCCCAUCCCAACACCUGCUCCCUGGAGUUUCAAUCGGGAGAAUUAAAACUCGUCCAUCUAUGGAAUGCAAGCGAGUUGCAGGCCUACUAUCCAUCGCAUAGUUGGCAAGUUGUCGGGUAAACUCUUAUCGAUUUGCUCAGCUUAGCUCAUAAUCUUUUCAUAUCAUUUAUCAUCUCAUCAUCUUUUCAUAUCAUUUAUCAUUACAUUAUCUUUUCAUUUCAUAAUGAUCUUAUUACAUCAUCUUCAUAACAUCACAUUUAAUCUCUUUACAUCACCAUACUCAUUAUCAUCUCACCAUUUAUCAUCACAUCAUAUUUUCAUACCAUCAUGAUCUCAUCACGUCCUCAUCUUCAUGACUAUUACAAUCUAUCUCGUUACAUCUUCAUUAUCAUAUUGUCAUGAUCUCAUCAUCACUGCAUCAUAUUUUUAUAUUAUCAUCAUCAUUAGUUUUGAGAUUAUCCUCAUUAGUUUCGUUAUCAUUAGUUUUGAGAUUAUCCUCAUUAUUUUCGUUAUUGAUAUCAUUAUUGGUAUUUGUUGUUGUAUACUAGUAUUUUUGUUAAUUUAUUUUUAAUAUUUGUCAGAGAUUUUGUGAUGACAGGUUGCUAAGAGAUGUAGUUAUCUCUUCGAAGUUACAAAACUACAGGUUUGAUAUAUAUCAUUUAAUGCUUUUAUCCAAUAUAUAUAUGUCUUUAUAAAAUUAAGAUAUGUUUUGUAAAAAUAUUUGUACUGCUUUUUACAUUCCGUUUUACUACUAUUAUUAGGGGUUUAUCUUGCAAAUAUCUCUUAUAUAUAUAAAAUAUCCUGUCCCUUAUUUGUGAUUUCAGAGAUAAGCUGAAUAAUUAGAGAGAAAUAGGCACAGGGGCUUUUACUAUCAUUUUGGAAAGCAUCCACUCUUCAUUAGAGUUGUUACGUGCACACAUGCCCUCGCAUUGAGUGGGAAGGGGGUGUAACGCCGACGAUGGGUGCCCCUAUCUCUUUAUACUGGGAGCAAAUUGUUGCCAUUACCAUCAAACCGCUUCGUUUAACAUGACAUUUUUUGCGCAAAAGUCCAAAGAAAAUACAAACAAAAACCAACAAUUUUACAGAUCCAAACAAACAAAUGUACAUAUCAGAAAAAUAUAAAAAAUCCAAUGAUAGACAAAAACAAACUCACAACAUUAGAGAAAAAAUGAAACAAAGUAAUAAUUGUGCAUAGACCCAAAGAUGGUGGUAUUGGGUAGUUGAUCUCUACAGCACAUUGUCAUCAUAGUGGACUGUAAAACUUGCAGACUCGUCACUCAUAGUCAUAGUGAGUCUCUACGACACAGACCCACGACGAAAAUUGUGUUAUUAAGUCAUAGAAGCUCAUAGCCAAAUUGUGGUCUUACCGUCGUAAACGGUGGCUUGGCCAUGAGUACCCAAGAUAAUGGAGUGAAUAGACAAGUGGGUUUAAAAGUGGAGGAGAGGAAGGGAAAUUGGGGGAGAAGAACCAAGAGAAAAGACAGGGAUGGUGGCCAUUGAAGCGUGAAAGUUUGAAAAGAAGGUGGAAAAGUGAAGGGGGAGGAGGAGAAGUGAAAGGUGGAGGGUGAUGGCCAUUAGAAAUGAAAGAAAUGGCAGUAGAGAGAGAUUGAGAGAAAAAAGUGGUAUUUGUAGCUAGGGUUUGUGUUUCCAAUAUAUAAGAUAUUAUGAUUUAUAUUUAUAUAUAUAUGUAUGUUUUUACAAAUAUUAAAGGUUGUGUGGGCUUAAGGCCCAUCCCGACACUUGCCCCUUGGACUCUUAAUGGAGAGAAUUAAAGCUCAUCCAUCUGUGGAAUGCAAGCGACUUGCAGGCCUAUUCUCCAUUGCAUAGUUGGCAAGUUGUCAGGUAAACUCUUACUGAUUUGUUCGGCUUAGCUUAUAAUCUUUUCAAAUCAUUUAUCAUCUCAUCAUCCUUUCAUAUCAUUUAUCAUUACAUUAUCUUUUCAUUUCAUCAUGAUCUCAUUACAUCAUCUUCAUAACAUCACAUUUAGUCUCUUUACAUCACCAUACUCAUCAUCAUCUCACAAUUUAUCAUCACAUCUUAUUUUCAUACCAUAAUGAUCACAUCACAUCCUCAUCUUCAUGACUACCACGAUCUAUCUCAUUAGAUCUUCAUCUUCAUAUUAUGAUAAUCUCAUCACAUCAUCAUUGCAUCAUAUUUUCGUAUUAUCAUCAUCAUUAGUUUUGAGAUCAUUCUCGUUAGUUUCGUUAUUGUUAUCAUUAUUGGUAUUUGUUGUUAUAUAUUUUUGUUAAUUGAUUUUUAAUAUUUGCCAGAGAUUUUGUGAUGGCAGGUUGUUCAGAGAUGUAGUUAUCUUCUCGAAGUUACAAAACUAAAGGUUUGAUAUAUACCAUUUAUUGCAUUUAUCCAUAUACGUAUUUAUAAAAUUAUGAUAUGUUUUGUGCAAAUAUUUGUAUUAUUUUUUGCAUUCCGUUUUACUACUAUUAUUAGGUGUUUAUCUUGCAAAUAUCUUUUAUACAUAAACUAUGUUGUCCCUUAUUUGUGAUUUGAGAGAUAGGCUGAAUAAUUAGAGAGAAAUAAGCACAAGGGGGCUUUUAUUAUUUUGGAAAGCAUCCACUUUUCGUUAGAGUUGUUACGUGCACACAUGCCCUCGCAUGGAGCGGGAAGGGCGCUUAACAGUGACGCUGGGUGCCCCAAUCUUGAUAUCGGGAGCAAAUUGGUGCCACCAUCAUCAAACCAGUCCCCGUUCAACACAACAUUUUUUGCGAAAAAGUCCAAGCAAAAACCAACAAUCUUAUAGAUCCAAACAAACAAACGUACAGAUCAGAAAAAUAUCACAAAUCUAAUGAAAAAUAAAAUCAAACUCACAAAAUUAGAGAUAAAACGAAACAAAGAAAUGGUAAUCGUGCACAGACCGCAAGGUCGUGGUAUUGGGUAGCUGAUCUCUACAGCCCAUCGUCAUUAUAGUGGUCUAUUAAACUUGCAGACUCAUCACUCAUAGUCACAAUGAGUCUCUACCAUACAUACCAACGACGAAAGUUGUGUUUUCAAGUCGUACAAGCCCCCGGUAAAAUUGUGGUCUUACCCUCGUAGAUUGCGGCUUGGCCAUGAGUACCCUUGAUAGUGGAGUGAAUAGACAAGGGGGUUCAAAACCGGAUGAGAGGAAGGGAAAUUGGGAGGAGAAGAAAAAAGAGGGAAAACAGGAUGGGGGCCAUUAGAGCGUGAAAGUCUGAAACGAAUGUGGAAAAGAGAAGGGGGAGGAGGAGAAGUGAAAGGUGGAGGGUGAUGGUCGUUUGAAAUGAAAGAAAUGGCAGUAUAGAGAGAUUGAGUGAAAUAGUGGUAUUUGUAGUUAGCAUUUGUGUUUCCAAUAUAUAAGAUAUUAUGAUAUAUAUAUCUAUAUAUAUGCAUACAUAUAUAUGUAUGUUUUUACAUAUAUUAAUGGCCAUGUGGGAGCAAGGCCCAUCCCAAAACCCGCCCCCAGGACUUUCAAUUGGGAGAAUUAAAGCUCGUCCAUCUGUUGGAUGCAAGCGCGUUGCAAGCCUACUCUCCAUCACAUAGUUGACAAGUUGUCAGGUAAACUCUUACCGAUUUGCUCGACUUACCUUAUAAUCUUUUCAUAUCAUUUAUCAUCUCAUCAUCUUUUCAUAUCAUUUAUCAUUACCUUAUCUUUUCAUUUCGUCAUGAUCUCAUUACAUCAUCUACAUAACAUCACAUUUAGUGUCUUUACAUCACCAUACUCAUCAUCAUCUCACCAUUUAUCAUCACAUCUUAUUUUCAUACCAUCAUGAUCACAUCACAUCCUCAUCUUCAUGACUAUUAUGAUCUAUCUUGUUAGAUCUUCAUCUUCAUAUUAUGAUAUCUCAUCACGUCAUCAUUGCAUUAUAUUUUCAUAUUAUCAUCAUCAUUAGUUUUGAAAUCAUCCUCGUUAGUUUCGUUGGUAUUAUCGUUAUUGGUAUUUGUUGUUGUAUAUUUCUUUUAAUUGAUUUUUAAUAUUUGCUAGAGAUUUUGUGAUGGCAAGUUGUUCAGAGUUGUAGUUAUCUCCUCAAAGUUACAAAACUAUAGGUUUGUUAUAUAACAUUUAUUGCUUUUAUCCAAUAUACGUAUUUAUAACAUUAAGAUAUGUUUUGUAAAGAUAUUUGUAUUGUUUUUUGCAUUCCGUUUUGCUACUAUUAUAUGGAGUUUAUCUUGCAAAUAACUUUUAUACAUAAACAAUGUUGUCCCUUGUUUGUGAUUUGAGAGAUAGGCUGAAUAAUUAGAGUGAAAUAGGCACAAGGGCUUUUAGUAUUUUGGAAAGUAUCCACUCUUCGUUGGAUUUGUUACGUACACACAUGCCCUUGCAUGGAUCGAGAAGGGGCCUUAAUGGCGACGUUGGGUGCCCCUAUCUUGAUACCAGUAGCAAAUUGGUGCCACUAUCAUCAAACCACCCCCCGUUCAACAUGACAUUUGUUUUGCAAAAAAGUCCAAACAAAAACCAAAAAUCUUAUAGAUCCAAACAAACAAGCCCAAAAAAUUAACGAGCCCAAAAAAUUUUGUUUGGUGGCGUCCAAGUUCCCCGCAUGGAAGCAAGGCGACAUCAUCCGAAUACCACCAAGAGCAACAAUGUGCGUAGCACUGGGUGCCAUAACACCAUCCGCCGUGCACAAUCAUGCUGCAAGGAAGCACCCUAACGAAGAGGACCAACCGCAAUGAAGUCAACUAGAGCCCCGGGGGGCUCGAAAACGUGAGAAAGCCCCUUACAUCAACUAUUGCCCCGCAUCAACAAGCCCAUGCGUGGCUCGUAGUGCCACCAUAUCCUUCCCUAGGCUAUAAUCUUGUUGCGUGAGAGCAAACGAGGACGUAAGAAUCACCCCUUAAAAAUUUUGUUUGGUGACGUCCAAGUUCCCCCCAU